rnacentral:rRNA from 1 species
AUGAGGUUAAUAGGUUCGAGGUGGAAGCAUGGCGACAUGUGGAGCUGACGAAUACUAAUCGAUCGAAGACUUAAUCAAUUU